CCAAACCGUGGGGGAACCUCACUUCUGCUGGGGGUUUUCUCUGAAUAAAAGCAGUUUUAAGCAUGAAUCCAUCAGGCUCAAAGCAAGAACUGGAUCUGUUUGCACAUCCCUGCAUUGCGUUCUGAAUUCAAGCACACUUAUGUGAAAGCUGUAGUCUCACCCAGUCAUAGCAGUGGUGUUUUGGAUUGGUUGGGUUUGUAAUGGGUCGGGGAGCAACCUUGGCAGCACAUUCCCACUGGAGGAAAGCAAUCAUAUGGCUAAAUGCAGGAUGGCUGAUGGGAGUGAAGAUGAGUGAAAUGGAAAUUCCUGGAGCUGCAGAGAAAACAGAACUCAAACAGGUGGAAUAGCACGGCUCUAUCUUGC